GAGCCACAUAUCGGGGCUUGGAGUGUGCAGGGCCUUAACUCCAUCCAUAAAAAGCAGCAGCCAGUGCAACUGAGCCAGCACAGAGUGGAAAGACACAACGAAUGCUUCGCCUGUGAUUCUCCGGGUAGAUCCAAAGGGCUUUUACUUAUAUUGGACAUAUCAGAAUAAGGAAAUGGAAUUUUUGGAUAUAACCAGCAUCCGAGACACCCGAGUAGGAAAAUUUGCCAAAAUCCCC